GUCCAGACUCCUACGGGAGGCAGCAGUGGGGGAUAUUGCACAAUGGGGGGAACCCUGAUGCAGCGACGCCGCGUGGGUGAAGGAGUGCUUCGGCAUGUAAAGCCCUAUCGGCAGGGAAGAAGCAAGACGGUACCUGACUAAGAAGCCCCGGCUAACUACGUGCCAGCAGCCGCGGUAAUACGUAGGGGGCGAGCGUUAUCCGGAUUCACUGGGUGUAAAGGGAGCGUAGACGGUAUGGCAAGUCUGAAGUGAAAGCCACGGGCUCAACCUGGGAACUGCUUUGGAAACUGUUAAACUAGAGUGCUGGAGAGGCAGGCGGAAUUCCUAGUGUAGCGGUGAAAUGCGUAGAUAUUAGGAGGAACACCAGUGGCGAAGGCGGCCUGCUGGACAGUAACUGACGUUGAGGCUCGAAAGCGUGGGGAGCAAACAGGAUUAGAUACCCCCGUA
rnacentral:rRNA from 1 species